GAUGAACGCUGGCUACAGGCUUAACACAUGCAAGUCGAGGGGAAACGACGGGGAAGCUUGCUUCCCCGGGCGUCGACCGGCGCACGGGUGAGUAACGCGUAUCCAACCUGCCUCUGACUGAGGGAUAACCCGUCGAAAGUCGGCCUAAUACCUCAUGGCAUCGUCUGCGGGCAUCCAACGACGAUUAAAGAUUUCAUCGGUCAGGGAUGGGGAUGCGUCUGAUUAGCUGGUUGGCGGGGUAACGGCCCACCAAGGCUACGAUCAGUAGGGGUUCUGAGAGGAAGGUCCCCCACAUUGGAACUGAGACACGGUCCAAACUCCUACGGGAGGCAGCAGUGAGGAAUAUUGGUCAAUGGGCGAGAGCCUGAACCAGCCAAGUAGCGUGCAGGAUGACGGCCCUAUGGGUUGUAAACUGCUUUUAUGCGGGGAUAAAGUGCAGGACGUGUCCUUCAUUGCAGGUACCGCAUGAAUAAGGACCGGCUAAUUCCGUGCCAGCAGCCGCGGUAAUACGGAAGGUCCGGGCGUUAUCCGGAUUUAUUGGGUUUAAAGGGAGCGUAGGCCGUGGAUUAAGCGUGUUGUGAAAUGCAGGUGCUCAACGUCUGCACUGCAGCGCGAACUGGUCCACUUGAGUGUGCACAACGCAGGCGGAAUUCGUCGUGUAGCGGUGAAAUGCUUAGAUAUGACGAAGAACUCCGAUUGCGAAGGCAGCUUGCGGGAGCACAACUGACGCUGAAGCUCGAAAGUGCGGGUAUCGAACAGG
rnacentral:rRNA from 1 species